UCCUCCACCUAAAACGAAUUUUUCUCCUCUCUCACGCUCUCCUACUCCCCUCUCUUUCAAAUUUCAAUUGGUUUUUGAAGAAAGCCCAGAAGCUACAACUUGAAGGCACCAAUCAAAGAACACAAGUUUGCAAUUGGGAGAGAGAGUUCUGCUUAGAAGACGAAGGAAUUGGGAGAGAGAGUUCAGAGUUUCUGCCCUUGGUUGUUGACCGAAGCUAGAAUCACAGACUGAUCGGUGUUCGGUGUUUGCUUGCUUUUGGCCUUUACUGAAGGAGGAAUGUGUUAGAUGGUUACAACAUGGAGAAGACUGUAAAAGUACUUGGGCCCCCUCCCUCUAUGAACUAGAGAACUUCAUUUGAUUACCAUUAGUUGUUAGUUCAGUUAGAAAGCAAUUGAUAAUUGUUAUAUAACUUGAACGAGGUGAUAUACCCGCAGCAAAGCGCGGGAUCUCUAACUAGUAUAUGACAUUGUGUGGCGGAUCAUGCUAGCUGGGGCAGAUGACAGAGCACCUUUAGGAACCUAAGGGGCCUCCAUAGAUUUCUCCUUCUCUAAAUGUAAUUAUUGAGUUUUUUUCUUUUCUUUCCUUUUCUUUUGUUCAGCUAAUUAUUGAAUUUUGUUUUCCUCUUGUAUUAGAAACUUUGUGAUAGCACUGAUUUGUUUGUAAUUUUCUUUUAUGUUUUGAAAACAAUACUCUCCCACGUUGGAAAGGUUUGCCACCUGUUGAUCUGCCCAGCCACCACCUCUCAAAAUUAGCUGGGAUGGGUUGUAUCAGUUUUGCGCUAGGAGGACGUAGAGAGAGAGGGGGAGAGCAAUUGGAGCAAGAUCACAUUUGGUGUUAUGAGAUGGAUUUCCGUUGGCGAUUUGAGAGAUUGAGAAGUAAUCGGUCGUCUAAAGAGAAAGGAGGAUUUGAUUGAGCUAUCAAGGAUCUUUCACAGAUUGAUCGAGCUGUAGGCUAAGUUUUUGGGAUUGAAGGCAGAAUUGGAUGAGGAACAUGGGUUGAAUCUGGAGCUGCAGUCACAAAGUAGAAAGCUUGGUGAGAAUCUUGCUGUUGCUGAAGCAAAGAUAGAACUUUAACUACUCCUUAACAAGAGCACUACUUUUGGUCUUCAGACAGCAUUGCUCUGGAGAAAUUUGAGAGAAAGUGGCAUGAAGUAACAAACCAAGUGGGGGAACAGAUCACCUUGAGUACUAUUUUGGUAAUGUUCAGGAGCUGUUGCAAUUGCUGUUGGAGGCCUCACAAAACAAGAGGUUUGUUUGCAAAGAAGAAAACAAGGCUCCAAGAGCAAUGAUGAAAUCUCUGACUCCUCUGCCUCUGCUUCUGCUUCAUAGGCUUCUGUCAUCCAUGCCCACCACAAAUUCAGAGCCAAAGCUGCAAUAUCCAUCUACAUUUUUUAUUUUCGGAUUUUGUUAUGCUGUUGUGGACUCUGGUUGACGACUCGAUUUGUAUAUGGUUUUUUGUUUUCAGGAAGCGGAUAAGGAGCAGAAGAGGAAUCAGUCAUGGAACAAGCUAGAAAUCAAGGUCAUGCUUUCAAGGAAAUUGCCUCAAGAACCAAGAUCUGAAACAGAUACAAUAUGUGUGGGUAACAUUGACUUUGCAUCUCUUACCUUGGACUAUAAAUAUUGCUCGAGAACUGAUCUCAAAGUCCCGACCAGAAAUGAAUGAUGGACAUGAGAAGUAGAUGAUUGCUAUCAUUGUCUCGAUCACAGUAGUGAAUUUUCUGCCCAUGGUCUUACUGUAAAAGAUUUAAAAAUGAAAUUGUAUGGGCAGGGUGAAUUUCAUUGAACCUUGAAGAUAGCAAUAUUGACAACGUAGGGUGAAUUAGUGGCUGUGCUAAAAUGUUAUCGUUUGAAAAAUUGUGGAAAAACUGAAUGAAUGUGAAAAAGGCCAGACUCUUUCGAUAAAUGAUCGAGUCAAUGAGCAUUACUUAAAGGCUAAAUUUAAGUAUAGAUCAA